GACAGAGGGUGCGACCGUUGCUCGGAAUCACUGGGCGUAAAGCGCGCGUAGGCGGACCGGAAAGUUGGUUGUGAAAUCCCUGGGCUCAACCCAGGAACUGCAUCCAAAACUCCCGGUCUUGAGUGACGGAGAGGAUAGUGGAAUUCCCGGUGUAGAGGUGAAAUUCGUAGAUAUCGGGAGGAACACCAGUGGCGAAGGCGGCUAUCUGGACGUCCACUGACGCUGAGGCGCGAAAGCGUGGAGAGCAAACAGG
rnacentral:rRNA from 1 species